CGGAUUUAAUAAACCAUAUGAUACGUCCGGAACUUUUGGUUAGUAGUAAUUCGAGGAUAGCUUCAUGCCGGUUUCGGUCAAGAGAAAUCGCCACCACAGCAAUUGUGAAGAGGUAGACGGAGAAGGCGAAGAAGAAGAAGAGGAGAGAGAAAAUCUGCCGCCGCCGCCAUCACCACCGCCGUCGUCGUCGUCGUCGUUGCGGUGGAGUCUCUUUCUAAAACCCUCAUAGAUUCAUCUAAUCGAGAUCAAUAUUUGUUUGGACAUUGGAUGGAUUGAUUUUGUGUGGCUGAUUAACUGGAUAGUUCAACUACGGAGUAAGGUUUGUUUGAAGUUGUGUGUACGAGCGGAAGAGUGUAAAGAUGGAUUUGGUUGCUAGCUGCAAGGAUAAAUUGGCAUAUUUUCGGAUAAAGGAGCUCAAAGAUGUUCUGAAUCAGCUUGGUCUUUCAAAGCAGGGGAAGAAGCAGGACCUUGUUGAUCGCAUAUUAGCUACACUCUCUGAUGAACGAGCUUCAGGAUUGUUCCCAAAGAGAAACAGUGUUGGGAAGGAAGACGUUGCAAAACUUGUUGAUGACAUUUACAGAAAAAUGCAGGUGUCUGGGGCGACGGGGGCAACUGGGGCAACUGACCUAGCAUCAAAGUCGCAAGUUGUCUCCGAUACCAGUAAUGUGAAGUUGAAGGAGGAGAUUGAAGACACUUACCACAUGAAAAUUCGCUGUGUGUGUACAAGCUCAUUACAAACUGAAACAAUGAUUCAGUGUGAAGACAGAAGAUGUCACACAUGGCAACAUAUUCGUUGUGUUGUCAUACCAGAGAAGCCAAUGGAGGGUGGUGAUCCACCAAUUCCGCCUACUACUUUUUACUGUGAAGUGUGCAGACUGGUUCGUGCUGACCCCUUCUGGGUGACAAUGGGACACCCUUUGUAUCCUGCAAAGUUGGCUAUUACAAGCGUUCCUGCCGAUGGGACGAACCCUGUGCAGAGUAUCGAGAAAACAUUUCAGAUCACUAGAGCUGACAGAGACUUGUUGGCGAAACAGGAAUAUGAUCUCCAGGCUUGGUGCAUGCUUCUCAACGACAAGGUACAAUUUAGAAUGCAGUGGCCUCAAUAUGCAGAUUUGCAGGUGAAUGGGGUUCCAGUGCGCGCGAUAAAUAGACCUGGCUCUCAAUUGCUGGGUGCUAAUGGUCGAGAUGAUGGCCCUAUAAUCACACCAUGCACCAGAGAUGGAAUCAACAAGGUCACAUUAACAGGAUGUGAUGCUCGUGUCUUUUGCUUGGGGGUCAGACUUGUGAAGCGGCGAACUGUUCAGCAGGUUCUUAGUAUGAUACCGAAGGUGUCAGAUGGUGAGAAAUUUGAAGAUGCCCUUGCUCGCGUUCGUCGCUGUGUUGGUGGUGGGACAGCCACGGAAAAUGCUGAUAGUGAUAGUGAUCUGGAAGUUGUUGCUGAUUGUAUUCCUGUCAAUCUUCGCUGCCCUAUGAGUGGUUCAAGGAUGAAAAUUGCUGGAAGAUUCAAACCUUGUAUACACAUGGGCUGCUUUGAUCUUGACGUCUUUGUUGAAAUGAAUCAAAGGUCGAGGAAGUGGCAAUGCCCUAUCUGUCUUAAGAACUACUCUUUGGAGCAUGUUAUCAUAGAUCCAUAUUUCAAUCGAAUUACUUCUCAGAUGCGUAGUUGUGGAGAAGAUGUCACAGAAAUCGAAGUGAAACCUGAUGGUUCUUGGCGCGCGAAGACAGAAUCUGAUCGAAGGAGUCUUGGAGAUCUUGGACGUUGGCAUUUACCUGAUGGGUCUCUGAGUGAAUCUCCAGAUAUAGAGUCGAAGCCUAAGCCUGAAAUUCUUAAGCAGGUUAAACAGGAAGGAGGCUCUGAUGGAAAUGGCCUUAAAGUUGGAUUGAAGAAGAACAGGGACGGAUUGUGGGAAAUCAGCAAACCUGAAGACCAGACAUUUUCAUCUGGAAAUAGAUUGAGAGAAAAUUUUGGUCAGGAUGUCAUUCCAAUGAGCAGCAGUGCCACUGGAAGUGGCAAAGAAGGUGAAGAUCGCAGUGUUAAUCAGGAUGGUAAUGGGAACCUUGAAUUCUCGAACAAUGCAUUUGAUCUUGAGGCCAUCUCUCUUAAUAUUGACCCACCAUAUGGUUUUGGCAACGGAAAUCCGUCAAUACCAGCAGGAGAUGCUGAAGUUAUUGUACUAAGUGAUUCUGAUGAAGAGAAUGAGCCAAUUAUCCCAUCUGGAGCUGUCUUUAAUAACAACCAUAGUGAUGCACCUGUAGUUUCUUUUCCAGCUCAACCACUAGGAAUUCCGGAUUCUUUUCAUGAUUCUGCGCUUGUUAACGGUGGGAAUUCAUGCCUGGGGCUGUUCAAUUCUAAUGACGAUGAAUUUGGGAUGAACUUGUGGUCUUUGCCUUCUGGAACCCAAGGUGGCCCUGGUUUUCAGUUAUUUAGUUCUGAUGCUGAUGUUUCAGGAUCUUUAGUAGAUGUGCAACAUGAAUCUAUUAACUGUACCAGUUCUAUGAGUGGGUACGGGUUGGGUGCAGAGAGUGGCAUUGGAUCUGCUUCUCUUCUUCCUGAAACAUACACCGAUCGCCCUAAUGCUGAUAUAAAUGAUAGUUUAGUUGAUAAUCCCCUUGGAUUUAGUGGCAAUGAUCCCUCACUUCAAAUAUUUCUUCCUACUAGACCAUCAAUUACGUCAGUCGAGGCUGCGAGGGAUCAGCCUGAUGUUUCAAAUGGCGUUGGUACUGAGGAUUGGAUCUCACUUAGGCUUGGUGGUGAUGGAGGGGUUCCUGGUGAUACUGCAGUUGCAAAUGGGUUAAGCUCUGGGCAGCAAGUACAAACUAAAGACACUGCGUUGGACUCAUUGGCUGACACUGGAGCAGAUUCCAUGGUGGCAGAACAAUGAUUACUGUUGCUAAGCAAAGACAUUGGAUAUGACGAGAUGAGGUUGCUAGUGAACACAAAUUGGUCAACAAGAAACUAUCUUCUCACAUCUGUGCUGGCGACGUAGGAGUUUUCUUAGUGGACCAAUCUUAUUUUUUUUCUCUUCCGUUUCCGGAUGGAAUACUUGGAAGGUGACUCGCUGGUGAACUGUAAAUUUUGGACAGCUUAGCUCAGGACAAGAUCUUCUAGUAACGUCCACUGGUAAAUCCGGAGGGGGAGGCAUUUUAGCGCUUUGAGAUCUCCUCUUGCCAUUUGUGAAGCCAGUAGCCUGUAAAUCGGUUUAAUUAAACUAACUUACAAAAAUGUAUAAUGUUUUGAAUGUGUUUAACCGUUAAUGGACCUUUUAAGGUCGGGCUCAAUAUCCUGAUAAUUUUGGUGCGAAGGAAGGUGGUAAAAGGAAUAGUGAUAGACUCUUUGAUUUCGGUUCUUUAUUUUUAGUUGAUGCAUUUAGAAUAGGUAAGGAUUGUGGAACCCGUGAUAAGAGCUUGUUCUAUGAUAAUGUCCUGUAGGUGGCGGGGUAUUUUGCGUAACCCUUGUUUGUCUCAGUUGUCUAUAAUUGCUACUACAAGUUUUUCCUU